UACGGAGGGUGCGAGCGUUAUCCGGAUUCACUGGGUUUAAAGGGUGCGUAGGUGGGAAUGUAAGUCAGUGGUGAAAUCUCUGAGCUUAACUCAGAAACUGCCAUUGAUACUAUGUUUCUUGAAUUUUCUGGAGGUCAGCGGAAUAUGUCAUGUAGCGGUGAAAUGCUUAGAUAUGACAUAGAACACCAAUUGCGAAGGCAGCUGGCUACAGGGAUAUUGACACUGAGGCACGAAAGCGUGGGGAGCGAACAGG
rnacentral:rRNA from 1 species